AUUGAACGCUGGCGGCAUGCCUUACACAUGCAAGUCGAACGGCAGCACGGGUGCUUGCACCUGGUGGCGAGUGGCGAACGGGUGAGUAAUACAUCGGAACGUACCUUAUCGUGGGGGAUAACGCAGCGAAAGUUGCGCUAAUACCGCAUACGCCCUGAGGGGGAAAGCGGGGGACCGUAAGGCCUCGCGCGAUUAGAGCGGCCGAUGUCUGAUUAGCUAGUUGGUGGGGUAAAGGCCUACCAAGGCGACGAUCAGUAGCUGGUCUGAGAGGACGAUCAGCCACACUGGGAAUGGGACACGGCCCAGACUCCUACGGGAGGCAGCAGUGGGGAAGAUUGGACAAUGGGGGCAACCCUGAUCCAGCAAUGCCGCGUGUGUGAAGAAGGCCUGAGGGUUGUAAAGCACUUUCAGUGGGGAGGAGGUUUGGUUGGUUAAGAGCUGACUGAAUGGACGUUACCCACAGAAGAAGCACCGGCUAACUCCGUGCCAGCCGCCGCGGUAA
rnacentral:rRNA from 1 species